rnacentral:lncRNA from 1 species
AAAUUCGGGGAUCUGCUCAGCAGACCAGAACAACCCAGGAGGCAUCUGGGCUCUGGAAGGAAAUACAAGCCAGCCAGUUCCAGCAGCUUUUUCCCAAAGCCUGGAGCAGGCUCUGCUCUGUAGCUACUAGCAUUUUUAUGACAGUAACCUGAGGCCACUCAUCUUAGGUCUGAUUGAUGAGUAGGUCAGAAAUCAUCCCAGCGUGGAACCCUCCUUGACUCACGCUGUCUGGGUGAACACACAGACCCAUUCCACUGUUUCCUGGCCAGCUUGACUUCACUCUUCUUAUUUUUCUUGGGCUAAGAAAAGACAUUCUUUGCUGGAUAUAAAUAUCAUGCAUUUCAGAAAGUUCAUAUAUACAAAUAACAUGGAUUCGGGAUCAUUACAGUUGUUAAUUUUAGUAAAAUAA